AACAUUCCUACAUCCUAUAUCAUAAAAUUCCUAUAUCCUAACAUUCCAACAUCCCAGUAUUUCAACAAUCCUACAUUUCAACCCCGCUACUGAGCGCAAACAACCCCCGUAACCCCACCAACAACCAAAACCCCAAACCCACUGAUUUCCCCACCAUUCCCAGGGGGGAAAAAAAAUCCUCACCACGAACUUCUCCCCGCUCUGCUCCACGUGUUUGUAGGUGGGGAUGGAGAUGGGCACCGCCUGCUUCUCGCUGUAGUCGUAGAAGGGCGNNNNNNNNNNNNNNNNNNNNNNNNNNNNNNNNNNNNNNNNNNNNNNNNNNNNNNNNNNNNNNNNNNNNNNNNNNNUCCACCACCUGCUUGAGCAUGGCUCCUUCCACGUUCACCCCGUUCUUGCAUGGAAAAAUAUCCCAAAUUCCCAUGGAGCAUUUCCACCACCUGCUGUGUGUGGCUCCCUCCACGUUCAUCCCAUUCUUGCAUGAAAAAAUAUCCCAAAUUCCCAUGGAGCAGAUCCACCACCUGCUUGUGUGUGGCUCCUUCCACGUUCACCCCGUUCCUAAAGGGAAAAAUAUCCCAAAUUCCCAUGGAGCAUUUCCACCACCUGCUUGUGUGUGGCGCCCUCCACAUUCACCCCGUUCCUAAAGGGAAAAAUAUCCCAAAUUCCCAUGGAGUUCCCAUGGAUCAGAUCCACCACCUGCUUGUGCGUGGCUCCUUCCACAUUCACCCCCGUUCCUAAAGGGAAAAAUAUCCCAAAUUCCCAUGGAGUUCCCAUGGAGCAUUUCCACCACCUGCUUGUGCGUGGAUCCCUCCACGUUCACCCUGUUCCUAAAGGGAAAAAUAUCCCAAAUUCCCACAGAGGAGAUCCACCACCUGUUUGUGUGUGGCUCCUUCCACAUACACCACGUUCCUAAAGGGAAAAAUAGCCCAAAUUGCCAUGGAGUUCCCAUGGAGCAGAUCCACCACCUGCUUGUGGUGCCCUCCACAUUCACCCCGUUCCUAAAGGGAAAAAUAGCCCAAAUUCCCACAGAGCAGAUCCACCACCUGCUUGUGUGUGGCUCCCUCCCCAUUCACCCCAUUCUUGCAUGAAAAAAUAUCCCAAAGUCCAUGGAGCAGAUCCACCACCUGCUUGUGCAUGGCUCCUUCCACGUUCACCCCGUUCCUAAAGGGAAAAAUAUACCAAAUUCCCACAGAGCAGAUCCCCCACCUGCUUGUGCGUGGCACCCUCCACGUUCACCCCAUUCCUAAAGGGAACUGAUCUCAAAUUCCCAUGGAGUUCUCAUGGAUCAGAUCCACCACCUGCUUGUGUGUGGCUCCUUCCACAUUCACCCCGUUCCUAAAGGGAAAAAUAUCCCAAAUUCCCAUGGACUUCCCAUGGAGCAUUUCCACCACCUGCUGUGUGUGGCGCCCUCCACGUUCAUCCCAUUCCUAAAGGCAAAAAUAUCCCAAAUUCCCAAUGAGUUUCCAUGGAUCAGAUUCACCACCUGCUUGUCCAUAGCCCCUUCCACGUUCAUCCCAUUCCUAAAGGGAAAAAUAUCCCAAAUUCCCACAGAGCAGAUCCACCACCUGCUUGUGCGUGGCUAAUUCCACGUUCACCCCAUUCUUGCAUGGAAAAAUAUCCCAUUGAAUUCCCAUGGAUCAGAUCCACCACCAGCUUGUGCAUGGCCCCUUCCACGUUCACCCCGUUCCUAAAGGGAAAAAUAUCCCAUUGAAUUCCCAUGGAGCAUUUCCACCACCUG
rnacentral:lncRNA from 1 species